CCCUGUGUUGUAGGGACUGUAGCAGAUUCAGUGGUUUUGUAGGGCAGUGCCACAUAAAUAGCAGGUAACGUUGAGUUUUCUGUCUGGGCCACGUGCUAAAAUGAAGUCAGAAACCACAUUCACAGUAUGAUGAGAGCGCUGUGUGGAGGCAAGCCUGGACCUGGGUCGUGUUGUCAUCUCUGCCUGGUUGUGACAUCUACACCUUGGUCUGGAACCAAACCCACAAUAUCUCCUAGCUAUGCCUGUAUUGUCUUAUCAUGUACCAGGCACUGUUCUAGGUCCUGGGAAUACAGCCAUGAACAAAAGUGACAAAGAUCCCUACCCUCAUGGAGUUUAUGUUUUCAUGGGAAAGACAGGCCCAGCUCAAAUGCCACAUCCUCCACAAUGUCAUCCUUAAUCCCCCAAAUUAGAAGCAAGUUUUCCUUCCCUCCUUUACUUCUGUAACCCUUGCUUUGAACCUUAUUACAUAGCACCAUAUAUGAUAUACCUAAGUGCUUGUUUUUGUGGCUCAAUUUGACUUUCUUCUUGGAGUAUAAAUUCCUGGAGGUCAAGGACUGUGCUAUAUAUGCUAGCCUCCCUGUGGGUGUUUUGUACUGGCCUCCCUGCCUUUAUGGGGACAGGGAGGGACUUCACUGGUCACCACCGCAGUGUGAGAGUCAUGUAAGACUUAAGAGUGUCCUAGUAGAUCAAGGAUUGCAGUGGUUGAUGGAGAGUGUGAUCUUUUCUAGAAAUCUUUACAAAUGGCUGUGUCCUCAUUGGACUGAGGUGAGUGAAGUGGAGACCUGCUGCAAAAUGAACUGUUGUGAUUCUGUAAGGAUAAUGUCCAUGGGUCCUGUGGGCCUGCAUUGCUGGGAUGCCCUGUCCCCCUGUAGCAAACAGCCAAUAGCUUCAAAGUACGUGUGUCAACAGGGACCUGGCUGAGUAAGGGCUCAGCAGUGGAUUUGGACCACAUCAGGGUUUCUUCAGAGGGGAUUAACGUGUAUCUGAAUGUUUUCACCCAAACUACCCAGCAGGGAAAUCCUUCACAACAAACAUCAUAGUACAAAUGAGAAGCUUACCUUUUUUUCCUGUCUGAGGCCUGUCAAUCUCACAAAUACAACACAAGGCAAGGCCAAGGCCAAGACCUGACUGAUUCGACUGGUAAGGAUACUCUGAGCCACUUUUAGGUUUAGAUAGUUUAGUACUUACAUAGGCAGUGAAAAGAAGAAUAAGCUCAAAGUGCCAGCUUUAUGUGGUCCUCGUCCCACACACUAAAAGGAUAACACGGAAACAAAAGGGGGCCAGAUGAUCACA